UAUAUGCACCUUUGAAUAGAAGAAUUAAUGGCGUGGAGGUCCUGAGGAGGCCCCUGUUCUUUAAUUUAUCCGAAUUCGAUCUGUCCUACAUUCUGAUCUGUUGCAAGCGCUUUUGAGGUGGCAAGCUAAUCAAGUAGCUGAUCACUUGCAGUGAGUUCUAUAUAAGGAGCAUAUAUGGCACCUCGGGCAGAUCGUCGUCGCCUUUUGAAGAUAGGGGUGGAAGCCUUCGAUAUGAUAGACGACUUCCAUGGCCGGCCUAGGAUCAGGCCAGCCGGCGGCAAUCAACAAGCUGUACCUCAUAAGGUGAAUUAUCCGGUACCAAAGCCAGAUCAGCCUGUCAUCAUCAACAGCGACGAGGCAGCCAAGCUCUACGGCGGGAUAAUCGUUAGGGAACAGUACAUCGGAAAAGAAAACCGCGGCUUCGCUAGCUGGGCUUAAGUACUAGAAAACCGCGGCUUCGCCAGCUGGGCUUAAGUACUAGUGGCUGAUCUUUCUUAAUUGUAUAUAUAGUGUGUGUGUAUUACUUGUACUAAUUAAGCAUGCAUGCAUGCAUGUCCUCCUGUUGUACUACUGAUCAUCGUAUCUAGCUUUUCAGUGACAAUAUAAAUGCUUAUGUUGUGUCAA